GCGUUGUUCGGAAUCACUGGGCGUAAAGGGAGCGUAGGCGGCGUGGUAAGUCAGAUGUGAAAUCCCGGGGCUCAACCCCGGAACUGCAUCCGAUACUGCCAUGCUAGAGGAUUGGAGAGGUAGCUGGAAUUCUUGGUGUAGCAGUGAAAUGCGUAGAGAUCAAGAGGAACACUCGUGGCGAAAGCGAGCUACUGGACAAUUCCUGACGCUGAGGCUCGAAGGCUAG
rnacentral:rRNA from 1 species